rnacentral:rRNA from 1 species
CAGCCGCCGCGGUAAUACGUAGGGCGCAAGCGUUAUCCGGAAUUAUUGGGCGUAAAGAGCUCGUAGGCGGUUUGUCGCGUCUGCCGUGAAAGUCCGGGGCUCAACCCCGGAUCUGCGGUGGGUACGGGCAGACUAGAGUGAUGUAGGGGAGACUGGAAUUACUGGUGUAGCGGUGAAAUGCGCAGAUAUCAGGAGGAACACCGAUGGCGAAGGCAGGUCUCUGGGCAUUAACUGACGCUGAGGAGCGAAAGCGUGGGGAGCGAACAGGAUUAGAUACCCCGGUAGUCCCUGUCUCUUAUAC